UGACGGCCGAUUUCAUCCUAACAUGUCCAAUCCAUUGUGAUCUGCAUAUUAGAUUCUCUUAAGAAAUCUUGACAUGCUAGCAUUCGAGUUAGAGCUCCAAUUAGAUCCUUUGGAUCUGUGUGGUAGUGUUAGCUUGAGUCAAACCCUAUUUAAGCCAGAUAAUUUACAAUUGAAGUCAAGAUUAUUGUGUCCUUUACCUACGAAAAAGGAUUUUCUCGGAAAGUUCCUACAUAAAAGCUAUCCAUUUUUAAAAAUUGCUAUAGCAACAUAUGAAUGAAUGUGGCAAGUCAUAUCCAAAUACAACGGCCAAAAUGAAGGUAACCACUGGAAUAGAAUUCAUGGUUGCAGCUGACAGGGUUGCUGAAGUGUAACUAAGGGCAAUGGAGUGUAUGUUUGUGCCUACAACAAUCCUAACAAAAAAAAAAAAGGCUGGACAAGUCAAAAUUUGUCCUGAAAUCUUGCUCAAAAUUUUUUUCAGAGUGAAUUAAUUGGUUGUUUAAUGAUGG
rnacentral:lncRNA from 1 species